CACUUGGGCGUCACAUACUUCCAUCUCCGAUUGUGGUCACUGUGAGCUGGUCAGAGGCCCAGAAGGGGAACAUGCAUUCAAAGUGAAAGUGGGUGCGUUCCACAGGAACAUCAAGGUUGGGAAGAGUACUGCCCUUCCAUCCCAGGCAGACUGGUGAGCAACCAGGCGUGAAUCUGCCCUCCUGCCGCAGAUUGCAGACUCAGCCCUAAACUCCCAGGGCACUGCAACAUCCCCAGCCCCUACCCUCCACCCCAGUCUGCUCUUUAAGUUUCCUGGUCUUCCUGGAGUGUCCAGACCAAUAAGGCUGGGCUCCGGCUUUUAUCCGCCCUCAUCUCUGGGUUUGCCCAGACCAAUGCAAGUGUUUCCCAAUAAAACCUUCUAUGAUCCCCCGCUCCCCAUACACACACCCAGUGUGCCUUUUCCCUCCCGCUUUUUUAGUAGCUCCGGGUAAAUAUUGAUUUGCCCCCAGUUUACCUCCUCCUGACUGGCCAUUUGCAAACUAAAGAACCCGUCUCUGUAGGGACCCGAUUUUUGUGUUACUUUCCGGCCCCUUCACCCCCCUUCCUUCCUCCAAGCGACAUUGUAAAACUCCUGAUGACAAAGAGACAGGGUAGGGUUCGAGGCCCCAGUUCCUGAGGACUUGAGGGCUGUUUUACAUACAGGUCAGACACGGCUGGAGGCCAAGGUCAAGUUGAAAGUUGCAGUCUAGCCAGUGUGAGAACUGCCAUGCAAGCCUGGAGACCCAGGCAGCUACGAAAGGCCCACUGCCCACCUCCCCUCACUCUCGAGUCCUUUAUCCUUCAGAAUUUCUCCAGUUUCUGCCUCUGUUUAGUUACCCAGCAUUUUGUGCUGCCUUCGUGGAGUUUUUGGGGCGGUGUUUACAAGCUCUUCUUCUCUGCCUCCGCCCUGCUUUUGGCCCGGGCUUCGUGCCUCUUCAGUUUUCCAGCCAGACCCGGAAAAACGAAAACACAGCUCAGGGAGCCCCCACCAGCCGGUGCCUGUGCCAGCUCACCUCUGGCCAUGGCGCAGCUGGUGAUGCACACCGCAGCCAAGGCCAGCUCCACCGCCCUCCUUCCCUCUCCCCGCUUCUCGGGUACUGAGCCCUGCCUGCAGAGGAAGGGCCCCAGCUCCGCAGACUCCAGAGUGACUGGGUCCCUUCUCAUCAAAAAUGGUGAGACAAGAUCACCUUGUCUGCCGAGGAGCCCCAAGCAGGACCAGGCUGUGUGAAGUCACUUGGCACUGUGGUGACGGUGACCGAACGCUACCACGGUGAAAACGGGAGGAUAUGCAGGGUCUGGGAAGAGCCGCCGCUGCCACGGAAGACCCCAAUUCGCCUUGAAAGGUCCUCUCAUCCUGCGGAUUUGGGGGGAGAGCAAGUUUUUGGAGGAGCAACUGUCCCUCUGCCUGGUGGGUUCCUUCAGGGUCCAGGCCUUCAAAGCCACCAGCGCCCAGAGCCUCAGAAAGGAUCCCGCUUCCAACACUGCCCUGGUGAUAUUUCUCCCCGGAAGUCCCUGAGCAGGGAGAGGGGUACCUCACUUUUAGAACAACCGGCCCCAAGUCUCGGGCUCCCUUGAGAAGCACCCCCCUCCCCUGCACUGUGCCAGCCAGCAGCGCCCAGACUCCGCAGCAGCGCAGCAGCGUUAGUGCAAAGUUGCGAGCUGGGGGCUCGGGGUUCCUGCCUCUGAAACCAGCCGCCCUCCUCCUUCUCCUCCGUGGUGGCGGUCGGUCGGUUGGAACGGUGAGGGGAG
rnacentral:lncRNA from 1 species